AUUUCGCCUCUUUGUACAUGGUGUUUCUUGGGUGGUGGCUGGCUGUACUCAAGAACAAUGUCUGCUGAACUGAGUCUUUGGUCUUUCCCUGGAGCCUGUGCCUCAAAGAAGAUUCCCAGCACAUUCAUGUGACCAAUCUUUCUUGCUUCUGCAGUUAGUUAUACAAAGCCUCUUGGCAUCACCAGGGGAGUGGAAGGUAAGAUGUAAAGGAUGGAUGGCCACAACACACGGGAAGUGGAUGUGUAAAAAAUGGCACAGUUGUUGGGGGGGAUUUAUGAGGAUGGAGCAGCCAUGUAUUUCCAUUGCUGAGUGAUGGAGGAGUCUGAGCUGCAACCCACAUUAGCACCAUGGAUGAAGACAAACCCACCCGAGAGCUGCUAGAGAGAUCAUGAAGCCUCACAAUGAAGACCAAACAUUGUUCAAAGAAAUGAAUAGCAUUAAUCUACAAACUUGAGCCCAAACAACGUGGCUAUCUAUUUCCCCAAGCUGGUGUUGCCCAAGGAAUAUUUAAACUGCCAUUAUGUGACAAAAAGUAUAUGAAAGAGGACAAAGAAAAAGGGAAAAAUACAAAGACUUCACAAACUGUUUCAUAGUCAGACUUCAAACUUGGAAAUUGCUGAAAAGAAAGACCAUUCAAAAGAGGCCAAAGCAAAUCAUACAGUGACAGCAUGCUGUGUUUAAAGCCCUUUGACUUGAUCUGCUGUUCUAUUAGCUACUGUGCUGUUACUAAUGGAUUUUCUGGUGGUGCUCAAUACACAGGAGUUCAAGGAAAAAUGGGAAAUAGUUUCCCUUUAAGGAAAAUAAUAUGUCUAUCCAAGAAGCAUUAAAAAUGUGCUCUUGCAUUCAAAACCAUUCUCCAAGGAGCUGUAUGUACUCAGCCAAGGAGACAUGUCUCCCAGUGAAACUUCCCCACUUCUGAAACCUCUGAAGACAGCUUCACAGUUCAUAAACAACCCAGGAUUGGAACUUUUCUAAAGUAGGCAGAAAAGUUUAAAGAUUCCUGCCACUUGGAAAAGGAAAUCCAAGUUAGCAGCAGGAGCUGAAGCAGCUGGAAACUCCUUAAAAUUCCAGGACCCCAGGCACUGCUUACAAUCAGAUAGACUAGAAUCUCCACUGUAAUGUGCAUGCUAGAAUUAAGCAUAGUUUAGGAUUGUUUAGCCCAACAUAGGCUAUAGCAUCCAUACAACAUGGUAUAAAUAUGAUUUAUCCCCUAAGAAAACUUAGGCUGAAAUUUAACUUUGAUUAUGAGAUAUUAAGGGGCAAAACUAGAUGGGAAUGUGAAGAAAUGACUGAGGCUCUGCUUUUAUCAAUAGGAUUAGCUAUUUGGUAUAAUUUAUAGGUUUAGUAGUUCUCUGGGAAGAGGUUCUCAACUAAAAGCCCAUUUGGUUAGGCAUCUCAUGCUCCCUGUCUCUUGCCAUGUGAGCUCUGUACAACCUCAGGGACACUGCCAGCAACACCUUCAUCUCAUGCAGCUUCACCCUUGGAUAGUCACUGUGAGUCAGAGUAAAUCUCUUAUUUAUACCUCAA